GGAUAAUCUAAUUUACUCAUCAAAUUCGAAAUUGUAAACAACAUAAUUUAAUUGCAAUUGAACUAAAAUACACAAUAACAAAAACACAAUCUGAAAUUUAACUUUGCGUCAAAAUGUCUCCACAAUAGUGAUCACCAUCAAAAGACUAACAUCUAAACAAAAACUGUCUUUGGCGAAACCAACCACUACCUUAAAUAAUCCCAAUCUUGUUUGCAACAUCCAAAGCAUCAUAAUCAGGUGUCAACCUUACAUAGGCCUUCUUGGUGCCAUCGGGCCUGCAAGAACAGUUCAAAUUUAGAAGAAAAAACAGUAGUUGUUUAAAGUAUACAUGCAAAGUAUGAAACUGCUUUACAAUAGUGUGGGUUUUGAUCUCAUGUUAUUGUUUACAACGGGUUUGUAUUAUGUGUCAUAUAGCCCUUCACAAUAGGGCCCGUGAUCAUAACAGUGUACCACAAAAACCAGUGUAUGUACAUGUUAUUACAACAGUAUAAGCUAGUGUGUUUAAAUUUCAAUACAAGAUUAACAACCAGCAUACAUCUCAAUCAUCUCAAGUUAAGCAGCCAUGAAUUACCGAACAAUUUGCAAAAAAGAUUACAACCUAAAGGCUUACCUGAUCAAGGUGUUAACUUUCUUGGCCUGGAUGUCAUACAUUUUCUUCACGGCAUCCUUGAUUUUCUUUUUGUCAGCUCGCAAGUCAACAAUGAAAACCAAAGUGUUGUUGUCUUCAAUCUUCUUCAUUGCGGACUCAGUUGUGAGUGGAUACUUCAAAAUCUGAUAAUGAUCAAGUUUGUUCCUUGGUGUAGCACUAAUCCGAGGGUAUUUUGGAUUCCUAUCCCUAGAUAAAGUCUUUGGCCUGUGGAAUGUAACAGUUGUCCUGAUCUUCUUUGCCUUUUUCUUGAUGGCAGUGCCUGACUUCACUGCUUUCGCAGCUUUCAAGGCCUGUGCCUUUGGAUCGGUCUUCUUUGCACCAUCACCUGCAAAAAGAAAAAGUUUACCUAGUCACAUUUCAUGCAGCGAAAAAUCCAAGAACUAGAUAUUUUGUAUACAUAAAAUGUCAUGUUUAGAUAAACAACUUAAUUGCAGAUUAUGGCACACACACUUAUCAUGAUUAGUGUUUAUGUGUAAGCGCUUACAUAAGCUAUUCUUUGUGCAAAUGGGAAAAUAAAGUUAAAACUGUCUUUCUAUAUGACAUAAGAUGUUUGAGUUACGUUGGGGGAACUAAACUAAUAAAAACAAGUUGAAAAAUGCUUAUGAAAAAAGUCAUAAGCUGUUACGAAACCUUCUCCCAAACAGUCUCACAAAAAAGUGCCAGUAGAUAAGCUGAAAUAAACCAAUCCAAAAAGGUCCUAAAUCUUCUAUUCAACAAAAAGAUAUCAUUGAUUUCAUAAAUCCUAGAAAAAUGAAGCAUCCAGAGAAAUGAGAUAACUCCAAACCGAAAGCAAUAAUCAUGCAGAUAAGUUCGUCUCCAAUUUAACAAAACCAAAAUAAGUCCAAGCAAAUCAUGUUCCAUCAACUUUUUUAAUCAAAACAGCAAAUUAUCAUAUCAUUUUGAACUUGAGAUGUUUGAGUUGAACUUGAUUUAUCUCAUUGGUUUCAGGGUCAGUACUCAGACAGUCUAACGAAAAUUAUUAAAUUUCAAUCUCUAUUAAAAUAAUAAAGAAAUGAGAAUACAGGUUUAGCAAACAAAGAAGGUUCAGAUACACAGCUUAUUUACAGCCUAUAAAAUUUCAAGUUCUACUCAAACUAUUUAUAUAGCAAAAGAUCUAAAUUGGACGUUGUUUCAGAAGCAAUUUUGGAGAACUUAGAAAAGAAAACUGAAAACAGCUUAUGAACAAUCUCAUAAGCUGUUUUCAGCUUUUCAUAAGUUAUAAGUCAGCUCUUGGUAGUUAACUAGUAAAAAAAAUGAACCAUAACACAAAAAUGAGAUUAUAUAACAAUUUUAGCUGGCAUUAAAAAUACAACUAGUGAAUUUUCUACUCGAAUCAAAUCUACCAGCACAAAAACACAGAUUAUUAAAAUCAACAGUGCAGAUAAACCAAUAUUUAAUCCAGAAACUCGUGAAAGCAGUGAUUUUCGUACUUAAGCAAUUACAUUAUGAAAACAGAUGCAGAAAUCGGAAUAAUUAGAGAGUAAAAUCAAAUCUUCGACUAUUGAAAAGAAAAGAGGGAUAGAUAAAUACCUUUUGGUGGAGCCAUUAAAUCGGUGAAGAUGAAGAAACCCUAAGAUGUGAAAUCUGCGUGAAGCUUGUGUGAUGGAAGCAGACA
rnacentral:lncRNA from 1 species